AGGCUGGAGCUAGUCAGCAGCUUUUGCACAAGCACCAGGCCACUCACUGGAUAGCAGGGGAGGGAGGCGCUAUUUUGACCCCUGAAGUCUUCCCGUGCAGGGCAGACUCUUUGCAAGACUGACUACCUGGAGGAGCAGAGGAGCAGGGGAGAAUGCAUGUUCCUGGAAGUAGGGGACUUGCUUCCAAGAGAAGAGGGAACAAAGGUAGAAAAGAGAAGGACUGUACAACACUGUCUCAGCUCAUUUGUGCUGCUAUAACAAAAUGCCUGAGACUGG
rnacentral:lncRNA from 1 species